GUUAAAGAUGAUGAUGAAGAGGAGAUGGAUUUAUGGGGCGAUCAUCCGUAUGGCAUCAUAGAAAGAAAUCCCCCCAAGAGAUGUCCCCGUCCUCUGUAUUCCCAGGACUGUCCAGAGGAGAAGCUCAGAGAGAACCAUCAGAUGACAAAUCAGGGGGAAGAUCUGACUGAUAUUAAAGUGGAUGAUGAAGAAGAGCGGAU